UGGAUAUCUGUCCUUCAGUGUGAUGAGAGU
rnacentral:piRNA from 1 species